GGCGAUGUGAACUCAUAGUUGGCUAGUGAGAGGAGGACUAUAAUCCCUUUUGGUCGUAGGUUCAAGUCCUAUCACGUCCCACCA
rnacentral:tRNA from 1 species